rnacentral:rRNA from 1 species
CCUUUCGUUGCGGAGCUUACCAUGCAGUCGACGGCAGCACGGGUGCUUGCACCUGGUGGCGAGUGGCGAACGGGUGAGUAAUAUAUCGGAACGUACCUUGUAGUGGGGGAUAGCUCGGCGAAAGCCGGAUUAAUACCGCAUACGCUCUGAGGAGGAAAGCGGGGGACCUUCGGGCCUCGCGCUACAAGAGCGGCCGAUAUCAGAUUAGCUAGUUGGUGAGGUAAAAGCUCACCAAGGCGACGAUCUGUAGCUGGUCUGAGAGGACGACCAGCCACACUGGGACUGAGACACGGCCCAGACUCCUACGGGAGGCAGCAGUGGGGAAUUUUGGACAAUGGGCGAAAGCCUGAUCCAGCAAUGCCGCGUGUGUGAAGAAGGCCUUCGGGUUGUAAAGCACUUUUGUCCGGAAAGAAAUCCUCUGGGUUAAUACCUCGGGGGGAUGACGGUACCGGAAGAAUAAGCACCGGCUAACUACGUGCCAGCAGCCGCGGUAAUACGUAGGGUGCAAGCGUUAAUCGGAAUUACUGGGCGUAAAGCGUGCGCAGGCGGUUUUGUA